UGGGGAAUUUUGGACAAUGGGCGCAAGCCUGAUCCAGCCAUGCCACGUGCGGGAAGAAGGCCUUCGGGUUGUAAACCGCUUUUGUCAGGGAAGAAAUCUUCUGAGUUAAUACCUCGGGAGGAUGACGGUACCUGAAGAAUAAGCACCGGCUAACUACGUGCCAGCAGCCGCGGUAAUACGUAGGGUGCAAGCGUUAAUCGGAAUUACUGGGCGUAAAGCGUGCGCAGGCGGUUUUGUAAGACAGAGGUGAAAUCCCCGGGCUCAACCUGGGAACUGCCUUUGUGACUGCAAGGCUUGAGUGCGGCAGAGGGGGAUGGAAUUCCGCGUGUAGCAGUGAAAUGCGUAGAUAUGCGGAGGAACACCGAUGGCGAAGGCAAUCCCCUGGGCCUGCACUGACGCUCAUGCACGAAAGCGUGGGGAGCAAACAGGAUUAGAUACCCUGGUAGUCCACGCCCUAAAACGAUGUCAACUGGUUGUUGGGAAGGUUCCUUCUCAGUAACGUAGCUAACGCGUGAAGUUGACCGCCUGGGGAGUACGGCCGCAAGGUUGAAAACUCAAAGGAAUUGACGGGGUCAUAGCUGUUUCCUG
rnacentral:rRNA from 1 species